CUACUGGGUGGUCCGAUUCUGAGUGAUCUCGAAGUUUCUUGCCCACAAAAGCCGAACGGUGACGCCCCAGACUCGGUUUCUUGGUUCCGUCCCAAAACGCCGAAGAAAGACACAAUGGCCUAGAAAGGGACGGUCGGACUUGGAACGGGGUCCGAGGCCUCGAAAGUCCACAUCUAGCUACUGGGUGGUCCGAUUCUGAGUGAUCUCGAAGUUUCUUGCCCACAAAAAGCCGAACGGUGACGCCCAGACUCGGUUUCUUGGUUCCGUCCCAAAACGCCGAAGAAAGGCACAAUGGCCUAGAAAGGGACGGUCGGACUUGGAACGGGGUCCGAGGCCUCGAAAGUCCACAUCUAGCUACUGGGUGGUCCGAUUCUGAGUGAUCUCGAAGUUUCUUGCCCACAAAAGCCGAACGGUGACGCCCCAGACUCGGUUUCUUGGUUCCGUCCCAAAACGCCGAAGAAAGGCACAAUGGCCUAGAAAGGGACGGUCGGACUUGGAACGGGGUCCGAGGCCUCGAAAGUCCACAUCUAGCUACUGGGUGGUCCGAUUCUGAGUGAUCUCGAAGUUUCUUGCCCACAAAAGCCGAACGGUGACGCCCCAGACUCGGUUUCUUGGUUCCGUCCCAAAACGCCGAAGAAAGGCACAAUGGCCUAGAAAGGGACGGUCGGACUUGGAACGGGGUCCGAGGCCUCGAAAGUCCACAUCUAGCUACUGGGUGGUCCGAUUCUUUGUGAUCUCGAAGUUUCUUGCCCACAAAAGCCGAACGGUGACGCCCCAGACUCGGUUUCUUGGUUCCGUCCCAAAACGCCGAAGAAAGGCACAAUGGCCUAGAAAGGGACGGUCGGACUUGGAACGGGGUCCGAGGCCUCGAAAGUCCACAUCUAGCUACUGGGUGGUCCGAUUCUGAGUGAUCUCGAAGUUUCUUGCCCACAAAAGCCGAACGGUGACGCCCCAGACUCGGUUUCUUGGUUCCGUCCCAAAACGCCGAAGAAAGGCACAAUGGCCUAGAAAGGGACGGUCGGACUUGGAACGGGGUCCGAGGCCUCGAAAGUCCACAUCUAGCUACUGGGUGGUCCGAUUCUGAGUGAUCUCGAAGUUUCUUGCCCACAAAAGCCGAACGGUGACGCCCCAGACUCGGUUUCUUGGUUCCGUCCCAAAACGCCGAAGAAAGGCACAAUGGCCUAGAAAGGGACGGUCGGACUUGGAACGGGGUCCGAGGCCUCGAAAGUCCACAUCUAGCUACUGGGUGGUCCGAUUCUGAGUGAUCUCGAAGUUUCUUGCCCACAAAAGCCGAACGGUGACGCCCCAGACUCGGUUUCUUGGUUCCGUCCCAAAAACGCCGAAGAAAGGCCCAAUGGCCUAGAAAGGGACGGUCGGACGUGGAACGGGGUCCGAGGCGUCGAAAGUCAACAUCUAGCUACUGGGUGGUCCGAUUCUGAGUGAUCUCGAAGUUUAUUGCCCACAAAAGCCGAACGGUGACGCCCCAGACUCGGUUUCUUGGUUCCGUCCCAAAACGCCGAAGAAAGGCACAAUGGCCUAGAAAGGGACGGUCGGACUUGGAACGGGGUCCGAGGCCUCGAAAGUCCACAUCUAGCUACUGGGUGGUCCGAUUCUGAGUGAUCUCGAAGUUUCUUGCCCACAAAAGCCGAACGGUGACGCCCCAGACUCGGUUUCUUGGUUCCGUCCCAAAACGCCGAAGAAAGGCACAAUGGCCUAGAAAGGGACGGUCGGACUUGGAACGGGGUCCGAGGCCUCGAAAGUCCACAUCUAGCUACUGGGUGGUCCGAUUCUUUGUGAUCUCGAAGUUUCUUGCCCACAAAAGCCGAACGGUGACGCCCCAGACUCGGUUUCUUGGUUCCGUCCCAAAACGCCGAAGAAAGGCACAAUGGCCUAGAAAGGGACGGUCGGACUUGGAACGGGGUCCGAGGCCUCGAAAGUCCACAUCUAGCUACUGGGUGGUCCGAUUCUGAGUGAUCUCGAAGUUUCUUGCCCACAAAAGCCGAACGGUGACGCCCCAGACUCGGUUUCUUGGUUCCGUCCCAAAACGCCGAAGAAAGGCACAAUGGCCUAGAAAGGGACGGUCGGACUUGGAACGGGGUCCGAGGCCUCGAAAGUCCACAUCUAGCUACUGGGUGGUCCGAUUCUGAGUGAUCUCGAAGUUUCUUGCCCACAAAAGCCGAACGGUGACGCCCCAGACUCGGUUUCUUGGUUCCGUCCCAAAACGCCGAAGAAAGGCACAAUGGCCUAGAAAGGGACGGUCGGACUUGGAACGGGGUCCGAGGCCUCGAAAGUCCACAUCUAGCUACUGGGUGGUCCGAUUCUUUGUGAUCUCGAAGUUUCUUGCCCACAAAAGCCGAACGGUGACGCCCCAGACUCGGUUUCUUGGUUCCGUCCCAAAACGCCGAAGAAAGGCACAAUGGCCUAGAAAGGGACGGUCGGACUUGGAACGGGGUCCGAGGCCUCGAAAGUCCACAUCUAGCUACUGGGUGGUCCGAUUCUGAGUGAUCUCGAAGUUUCUUGCCCACAAAAGCCGAACGGUGACGCCCCAGACUCGGUUUCUUGGUUCCGUCCCAAAACGCCGAAGAAAGGCACAAUGGCCUAGAAAGGGAAGGUCGGACUUGGAACGGGGUCCGAGGCCUCGAAAGUCAACAUCUAGCUACUGGGUGGUCCGAUUCUGAGUGAUCUCGAAGUUUCUUGCCCACAAAAGCCGAACGGUGACGCCCCAGACUCGGUUUCUUGGUUCCGUCCCAAAACGCCGAAGAAAGGCACAAUGGCCUAGAAAGGGACGGUCGGACUUGGAACGGGGUCCGAGGCCUCGAAAGUCCACAUCUAGCUACUGGGUGGUCCGAUUCUUUGUGAUCUCGAAGUUUCUUGCCCACAAAAGCCGAACGGUGACGCCCCAGACUCGGUUUCUUGGUUCCGUCCCAAAACGCCGAAGAAAGGCACAAUGGCCUAGAAAGGGACGGUCGGACUUGGAACGGGGUUCGAGGCCUCGAAAGUCCACAUCUAGCUACUGGGUGGUCCGAUUCUUUGUGAUCUCGAAGUUUCUUGCCCACAAAAGCCGAACGGUGACGCCCCAGACUCGGUUUCUUGGUUCCGUCCCAAAACGCCGAAGAAAGGCACAAUGGCCUAGAAAGGGACGGUCGGACUUGGAACGGGGUCCGAGGCCUCGAAAGUCCACAUCUAGCUACUGGGUGGUUCGAUUCUGAGUGAUCUCGAAGUUUCUUGCCCACAAAAGCCGAACGGUGACGCCCCAGACUCGGUUUCUUGGUUCCGUCCCAAAACGCCGAAGAAAGGCACAAUGGCCUAGAAGAAAGGACGGUCGUACUUGGAACGGGGUCCGAGGCCUCGAAAGUCCACAUCUAGCGACUGGGUGGUUCGAUUCUGAGUGAUCUCGAAGUUUCUUGCCCACAAAAGCCGAACGGUGACGCCCCAGACUCGGUUUCUUGGUUCCGUCCCAAAACGCCGAAGAAAGGCAAAAUGGCCUAGAAAGGGACGGUCGGACUCGAAACGGGGUCCGAGGCCUCGAAAGUCCACAUCUAGCGACUGGGUGGUCCGAUUCUGAGUGAUCUCGAAGUUUCUUGCCCACAAAAGCAGAACGGUGACGCCCUAGACUCGGUUUCUUGGUUCCGUCCCAAAACGCCAAAGAAAGGCACAAUGAC
rnacentral:lncRNA from 1 species